rnacentral:rRNA from 1 species
UUAUUUAGAAAAACCAACCCUGGGUUGGAAUGCCUUUGACGGACCCAGGGAUAGGGCCUCCUGGGUAAAACCGGGCAGAGAGCAAGGUGCUGCAUGGCCGUUGUCAGCUCGUGUUGUGAGAUGUUGGGUUAAGUCCCGCAACGAGCGCAACCCUUAUCCAUAGUUGCCAGCGGUUAGGCCGGGCACUCUAUUGAGACUGCCGUUGACAAACCGGAGGAAGGUGGGGAUGACGUCAAGUCCUCAUGGCCUUUAUGUCCAGGGCUACACACGUGCUACAAUGGCAGGUACAAAGCGCUGCAAACCCGCAAGGGGGAGCCAAUCCCAAAAAGCCGGUCUCAGUUCGGAUUGGAGUCUGCAACUCGACUCCAUGAAGCUGGAAU